ensembl:lncRNA
UAAAACCGGCGUCCUAGCCGUGCGGCACGUGAGGGGUUAAAUUUUGCAGGUUUUUGCGCGCUGUGGGGAAAUUACAAGGACGUGUUGGAUGAAUUUGAUUUCGGCAAAUGAGUCUGGGUUAUCAAUUAGCUGGGCUUUAUGAUUGAAUUAAUUUUUUAAUUAGUAUUAUUAUUAUUUUGUAUGGAGACAGGUCGGUGCUGAGAGCCGCUUAAUAAUAACGCAGAGCAUCACGCAAAACGCCGCGUCAGCACCAAAUCACACCAGUGUGUAGUGCGGCGUUAAUAAAGCGACAUUAUUAUGAGGCGCUUUUUUAUUUUUUUAUUUUUUUUUUUAUAAAGUGAAUAGCUUAUUUAAGUAAUACGGAUACCGGGUAUUAUCAAUGCAUAUAGGAUGAACGCGUUUAUCAAAGCUAAUUGAGUGGCAUGUCACGUGAUUGUUUGAUAUUGAUGUUAUGUGAGAUGUGCCGGUUAUUUUCUUCUCGCCAUAUAGGCCACCUCUCAUUCAUUUUUCUCUCACAGGGUCUCUGUGUAGAAGUGUGUAGGAAUGGCAAAUAUUUCUAGAAGGAGGAGGAGAAACGGUGCUUGUCCUGCUGAAAAACGAACACCUCGCGUGCGCGGUUGGAGAACGAGAUUAUAGAUGUAAUAUGUUAUAUAAUAUAUAUCUCAGCUUUACAUUAUAUCACAUUGCUGCUUGUACUGCGAUUGUGGUGUGUGUGUGUGUUAUAUUAGAACUCCGUGAGAUGCACCAUUUCAAAGAGUAAGGCUCGUCUGGGAUUCAUCAGCCCACCCACAGGCUCCUCCCACGCGCCUCAUUUGCAUAUUGUAGACUUUUGAUCUAGCCAUAUCGCUACAACGGUUAAGAAGUGAUAUAUCAGGCUGCUCGUCCGCGAUGACGUCACAGAGUUAAUAAAAGCUCUGCAGCGACAGGGCAGAUCCAACAUGGAGAGCCUGAGAGUCGUGGGCUUCAGCAUGCUGCUCUGUGUGGGUAAGAAAUGCAUUUAAAUAAAUAAAUAAAUAUUCAUGAUUAUUGUUUAUGAUAGAAAAUCUCUCUAGCCAUAUUUAAUGCUACAUACACAUUUUUAACCAUCGUAAAGAUAUUUGGAUGAACGCGUACGGUUAAAACAGGUUUCUAAUGCUGAUGACUCUGUUAAUGUUGUUUUAAGAGCGUUUUUUUAUUUUAUUUUAUUUUUUUAUCAUUGAAUAAAAUAGUUCCCGUAUUGAACUGAGGAGAAGCGCAACAUAUUUAUAACCUUUUCAGAAAAGUCUUCUCGAUGAACCUGUCUCAUGAGGCCGGUUGAGGAAACGGCAAGAGUUAUCAGAAAACCCGUUACAGUUUCCAAAUACGAAACCUUUUUGAUUUGUUAAACACUUAAGUUUACUUAACGUAACUACGUUUAUGUAUUAUAUGUGCUAUUUCAUAGUGUUACAUUUAUUCGUUAUUCGUUGGCAUUUUAGGGGUUAGUUAAGUGCUCGUGGAAGAGCUGGGUGUUUAGGUGUUUUUUUUUGUUGUUGUUGUUGUUUUUUG